UGAUCCCAAGGAAGGAAUGAUGUUCCAAUGGAAAUCCAAGAAAAGGAUUCUGAGCCUCAGCGUUUUGAAGGAGACGCUUGGUCCCUGACCUUCCUUGAGGCAAA
ensembl:snoRNA SNORD124 small nucleolar RNA, C/D box 124